AGUGAGAUAGCUUGGUCAAAUGGUAGGUCCAUUCCAAGUUCUCUAAGAAAUUUCCAGACCACUUUUCAGAGUGGUUGUACCAAUUUGCAGUCCCACCAGCAAU
rnacentral:pre_miRNA from 1 species